AUGGGCCACCACCAGACACUCAUGGAGGGAGAAGAUACAUGCCCAUAUGACGCCUUUUAUGCGAGCAAGGAAGCAGAAACGUGGAGAAGCAAUGCUCUGCUAACGGUGGAUGCUAUAUUGGUGGUAAUCAUGGUUGGAAUAGGUGCAUAUGGCCAUCACUAUCGCCACCGCCCCUUCACCCGCUUCCUCUAUGAUGGAGCCACGUCAUUGUUCCUACCAAUCAUGUCAUAUGUUGUCUCUGGUAUUGGUGGCACUUAUAUGACCGCCUUCACAAAUGCUCAUAGUGCAAUCCUAGUCGGGGAGUGUCAGGCAGCCUUUACCACACGCCUAGUCAUAGGAUGGGCUUGCCUUGUUCAAAUUGUUGCCAUAAACAUCAGCGUUGUAGUUGCCGGCGAUGAGAGAGAAGGCCGAAACACUGGCCCUUCAGUGGUUCUGCUUGUCCAAGCAAUGUGGACCUGUUACCUUGCGAUCUACUACGCAGGAUUAGAUAUAGAUACAUUUGGGUUUGUGUUCAAGACUUUUGCAGCCAGAAUGUCUUCAUUGUUGGGAUUUCUUUACCUUGGGACAUUUGUCAUCAUCUUCGCCAAAAUGACCUUCAAGUUCCAUGCGUUUUAUAAAGUUCGGAGAUCAAUUGCUCUUGGACUCAACCCCCGUCUUGUUGUUGGAUAUAUGGAGCAGCUGAAUAAUAGAAGUCAACCCAGUGAGCGUGCACCUCCUCCACUCCUGGUUAUGGGUGAGGAGACUUCCCGGGUAAAGAAGCAACCUCGUGGUUACUGCUUUGUACGCAUGUCCGAGGAAGCUAGGACAAACAACAUGCUAGUGACCAUCGACAAAAUUUGGCUAUUAGAGGACAUGCUUUUGGGGUCAUCAACACGACUCAAAGAUGUGUGCCUCUCCUUUACAUUGUUCAAGUUACUGCGAUGUAGAUUUGCAAGGUACACUAUUGCCGAGGCUGGUUUUCACAAGGUUAAUAACUUUUUCUGGCGAGUGUUGCUAAAGGAUGGUGACGACGAGAGGGUAUUCAGGGUCAUUGCGGACGAGCUUUCUUUUCUUUAUGAUUAUUACUAUUCAUCUCUCUCAAUCUCAUAUCCAAGUCGCCGGAUGUCCAUCUUGAGCAUCAUUAUCUCCCUCCUAAGCAUCGGUGGUUGUUUGUCUCUUAUGUUUGCACUGCGUGGUUACUGGUCGUAUGCGUCUCAGUUCGUGUGUGAGGUAAAUUGCCCUGCAACACACGAUAAGUUGGAGUACCUUGGUUUCGGGAAUUAUUAUAUUGAUCAUGUGCUAGUGCAUUUACUUGCUGCACUGGUAGUGCUUACUGAAGCAAGGGACAUCGCUUCUUACAUCUGCUCUAAUUGGACUAAAGUGGCCCUUAUCUGCGGCUACGUGAAGCAUGCUUCUUGGCAACAAUCACGUGCCUGGCGAGGAUGCGUCAGCCGUGUGUUGCAGUGCAGAUGCAAGCUGUUUAAGAUCUGGGAGGACAAAAUGAACCAGUGCUCAAUUCUCAUGCUCCGCCCAGCGAAAACACCUUUGGCUUUUCUUGGGCGUCUCAUCAAUACACCGCAACGAAAGAAGAAGAUACCAAGAGCGGUGAAGGCCUCUAUCAUCAACGCACUCAGAAGCUACGAGGAGAGUCGCCGAACCAAUGGCAUGGCAUCUAUGCCUAGGAGCUUGCAAGUUGGUGAGGAGCUCUGCUGGAUGUUCGAUGAUGAAGGUACAUGCGAUACUAUGCUUGUGUGCCACAUCGCUACGAGCAUCCUAGAAGUGAGAUCACACCAACACCAGCCUUUUUCGAACCAUAGGAUUACUGCCACUCACUUAUCACGAUAUUGUGCAUAUUUGGUGGCAUACUCACCUGAGCUGCUCCCUGACGACGAUGCUUGGUGCAAGAGCUUGUACGAGGCCGUCAAGAAGGACGCUGACCGUGCCCUCGCCGGUGGCAUUCGGGCGUCAACGCCUGAAGCAGAGUACCACCAGUUGGUCGAGCUGCUCAGUACAAGGCCAAUGCAUGAGGUGCUUCAGAAGGGUGUGGAGCUUGGGAAGCGUUUGGCGGGGAUGAUUGAAAGAGAGGAUACAAUUUGGGAGGUUCUUGCGGGCUUUUGGUCAGAGAUGAUCCUCUAUGUUGCUCCGUCGGAGAACAUCAAUGGGCACGCGGAGGCCAUUGCCCGGGGUGGUGAGCUAAUAACGCUCCUCUGGGCACUGCUCGCGCAUGUCGGUAUCGUCGGCAGGUCCCACAAUGCCCCGGUCAGUGCUUCUGAUGUUGUCUAA
rnacentral:rRNA from 1 species